UAGGCAAUAUAUUAAAUAAUCUUCGAAUUGCAUUUUUAUUAUUACAACAUAAAAUCAAAUAGAUAUAACAACAUAUUCUUUCGUCUUUCGUUCUUAUUUCUCAAUUUAUUUCAUCAAAUUAUUUAAAUCAAAUACACGUUGAUAUGGGUAUUUAUGGUUCAUUUCUGUGACAGAAUUUCUUCUCCCGUUUCCAGGAUAUUCGGAGUUUCUUCGUUCUUUGCAACUCUCGUUGCAUACCGGUUACCAGAGUUUGAAGGACAGUAUUCACUCGCCCAUGUACAAAUGUUUUUGAAGAUUCUGAAGUCCU